rnacentral:rRNA from 1 species
GAUGAACGCUAGCGGCAGGCUUAACACAUGCAAGUCGAGGGGUAUGCCGAUUUAUCGGCAGAGACCGGCGCACGGUGCGUAACGCGUAUGCAAUCUACCUUUCACAGAGGGAUAGCCCAGAGAAAUUUGGAUUAAUACCUCAUAGUAUAGCAGUUUCGCAUGAAACCACUAUUAAAGUUCCAACGGUGAAAGAUGAGCAUGCGUCCCAUUAGCUAGAUGGUAAGGUAACGGCUUACCAUGGCUACGAUGGGUAGGGGUCCUGAGAGGGAGAUCCCCCCACACUGGUACUGAGACACGGACCAGACUCCUACGGGAGGCAGCAGUGAGGAAUAUUGGUCAAUGGACGCAAGUCUGAACCAGCCAUGCCGCGUGCAGGAUGACGGUCCUAUGGAUUGUAAACUGCUUUUAUACAGGAAGAAACACUACUUCGUGAAGUAGCUUGACGGUACUGUAAGAAUAAGGAUCGGCUAACUCCGUGCCAG